GAAAGUGAGGGCGAUCUGGCUACUACAUUUGCCAUCCCACUGAUUACCAGGGUUGACUUGACUGAUUUGGCUGGCUAGAAAAGUGUCCCCUUCCUCCUUCACCACUCCAUGUGUCAUCCUAAAGGAUGACCUUCCCUGAAUAGAGAAAGUCUUUUGCAUAA
rnacentral:snRNA from 1 species